rnacentral:rRNA from 1 species
AUUGAACGCUAGCGGGAUGCUUUACACAUGCAAGUCGAACGAGUGGCGGACGGGUGAGUAAUAUCUGGGGACUGCCCGAUAGAGGGGGAUAACUACUGGAAACGGUAGCUAAUACCGCAUACUAUCGGAUAACCCAUAUGGGAUUAGCUAGUAGGUGGGGUAAUGGCUCACCUAGGCGACGAUCCCUAGCUGGUCUGAGAGGAUGAUCAGCCACACUGGAACUGAGACACGGCCCAGACUCCUACGGAGGCAGCAGUGGGGAAUAUUGCACAAUGGGCGCAAGCCUGAUGCAGCCAUGCCGCGUGUAUGAAGAAGGCCCUAGGGUUGUAAAGUACUUUCAGUGGGGAGGCGUUACCGGCAGAAGAAGCACCGGCUAACUCCGUGCCAGCAGCCGCGGUAAUUC